UAGGGGCUCGGAACCGGGAUGGUGCUCAAGUGUCGUUCUUAAUAUACACUACACUCGGACCUGAGGUAAAGAAAAGGAAAAGCUGGACCAGCCAUGAGUUGGAGAGCCUUAGGGGCAGAGUGUAUAUAUGCGGCCUGCUCAUCCGCCACGGCCGAGGCUAUCAGUUGGAACUAGGGUUGGACCUUGAUUUUGCCGCCUAGGUCGGCUUUUGUAUUCAUUUUUGGGUUUGUAAUCGUUUUAAAAUACGAUAAGAUCCCAUGUAUAGAAGUUAAACUCUUUUAAUGAAAUGGUUGACCU